GGUCCUCCAAAAAUAGAGCCCUUUUGCCAUUCUUAGCAACAGGAGAGAGAAACAUGCUGGGGAACUGAAAAAGAUCUUUUGUGCAGCUCAUAGAUGCAGAAAUGCUCAAUUAAAUCACCUUUAUAUUUUAUUCUGUGUUGUUGCUUAAACCUAAUACAACAAAAAGCACUUGAUGUCCAACAAAAAGUCACCCACAACUUCCAGGACUUAAAUGCUCAAACAAGAUGGAACUUUGUGUUGCUGCAGUGCUUUUGUCCUACUUCGCUCCAGCUUUGGCUUCUCAAAUGGAUGAAAUUCAUGGUAAGUGUUGUCUUCUAGUCUAGAAUUAAUUUUACAUUAACUGAACGU
rnacentral:lncRNA from 1 species